rnacentral:rRNA from 1 species
GCCUAGGGGGCGUCAAAGCCUACCGAAGCUUAUCAAACUCCGAAUGCCGUAUACUUGAUUUAAGGGAGUCAGACUGCACGAGAUAAGUUGGGCAGUCAAAAGGGAAAGAGCCCAGACCGCCAGCUAAGGCCCCAAAAUGCAUGUUAAGUGGAAAAGGAUGUGGGAUCUCAAAGACAACUAGGAUGUUGGCUCAGAAGCAGCCAUGCAUUCAAAGAGUGCGUAAUAGCUCACUAGUCGAGAGGUCCUGCGCCGAAAAUGUCCGGGGCUGAAACAUGCUGCCGAAGCUGCGGAACCGCAAGGUUGGUAGAGGAGCAUUGAAUGCGGGAAGAAGCUGUACCGAAAGGAGCAGUGGACUGCAUUGAAGAGAGAAUGCCGGAAUGAGUAGCGAGAAAUAGGUGAGAAUCCUAUUGGCCGAAUAUCCAAGGAUUCCAGGGUAAAGCUGAUCUGCCCUGGGUAAGUCGGGGCCUAAGGCGAGGUCGGAAGACGUAGCCGAUGGACAACAGGUAGAGAUUCCUGUACUGCAUAUGGUCAGAACUGUGGGGACACGGGGUGUUAACGGAAGCCGGGAAAGGAAAGACCGGUCCAAGCACAGGAGGCGUUGCGCAGGCAAAUCCGCGCAAUGAGCCAAAGGUGUGACGGGGAGCGAAAUUAUAGUAGCGAAGUCCGGAUACAUGCUGUCAAGAAAAGCCGCUAUUGCGCCAUAUGUACCCGUACCGUAAACCGACACAGGUGGAUGAGGAGAGGAUCCUAAGGCCGGCGGGAGAAGUGUUGUUAAGGAACUCGGCAAAAUGGCCCCGUAACUUCGGGAGAAGGGGCGCCCAGAAAUGGGCCGCAGAGAAAAGGCUCAAGCAACUGUUUAGCAAAAACACAGGUCUAUGCGAAACCGAAAGGUGAGGUAUAUGGGCUGACGCCUGCCCGGUGCUGGAAGGUUAAGAGGAGAGGUUAGACGCAAGUCGAAGCUUUGAAUUUAAGCCCCAGUAAACGGCGGCCGUAACUAUAACGGUCCUAAGGUAGCGAAAUUCCUUGUCGGGUAAGUUCCGACCCGCACGAAAGGCGUAAUGAUUUGAGCACUGUCUCGACAACACACCCGGUGAAAUUGAAAUACCAGUGAAGAUGCUGGUUACCUGCGCCAGGACGGAAAGACCCCAUGGAGCUUUACUCCAGCUUGAUACUGGGAUUCGGUAUUGCAUGUACAGGAUAGGUGGGAGGCUAGGAAGUGAUAACGCCAGUUGUCACGGAGCCG